GCGGGGCGAGUGGGCCGCUGAGAUUGCGGAGCCCGCGCAUGCGCAGAGCGCGCCUGGUGGGCGUGUGCGCCUUCGCCCUGCGGACCCGGUGCCUUCAGUAUUCGGGGUCCGACCGCGCGCGUCGCGGAUCCCGGGGCCGAAGACGACCCCAAGUAUCGGAGAGGCAGAGUCGCGAUCUCAGGCCGUCGAGCCCCGUCCCGCAGUCCGCGGGCCCAUGUUGCCUGCGGGGCCUCGGACCUGCCCGGCCGAGGUGGGGGUCGAGGGCGGCCCGGCAGGCGCAGCUCUGAUGGCCUCGGCGGGUUGUGGGCUAUUUAAAACGGCUUGUCCCAGCUCGAAGCGGUCCUGGAAGACUCGGGCCCUACCCCUGACUUUACCGAUGAGAGACUGAGGCCCAGACGGUGUGGGGUCAGGGCCCAGGCUUCUGGGGGAUGCUGCCAAGGCGGGAGCCAGCGUCCCCAGUGCCCGGUGGAUUCGUGAUGGCUUGCAGAGGGUUUCAGUUUCCACUGUCCAGCCCUCCCUGCAGACCAAUGCCUAGGUGUGACAGUUUGGUAGGAAAGGGGCCGGAUAUUUGUCUCCAGGCUGGGUUUGCCUAGCGAGUCGCUGCAUUUACUAAGAUUGUUGGUUAAUUUGGGUGGCUGGGGGAGGGAGGCUGAUGGAGAUACCCCCCAACCCCAACAAACCCUUGGCGUCAGGAGAGGAGGGGCUUUUCCUGGAGCUUGCGGAAGGUCACCGAAAUCGUGGGGGUAUCUGAGAGCUUCUGGGGCGCGCGGGUGCAGGGGAAGGGGUCAUGCUUCCGUGGAAGCGGUGGCCUCCAGGUGGAGCCGAUGAAGGGGCAGAUAGGGGUUUGAAGCAGGACGUUAAGGGAGCCUGAAGCAAAACUAAUCUCUGGAGCUAAAAAUAGGAGUGGGCCUGGCGCGGUGGCUCACACCUGUAAUCCCAGCACUUUAGGAGGCCGAGGUGGGCGGAUUGCCUGAGCUCAGGACUUCGAGACCAGCCUGGGCAACACGGUGAAACCCCGUCUCUACUAAAAUACAAAAAACUAGCCGGGCGUGGUGGCGCGCGCCUGUAGUCCCAGCUACUCGAGAGGCUAAGGCAGGAGAAUUACUUGAACCCGGGAGGCGAAAGUGCAGUGAGCCAAGAUCGCUCCACUGCACUCCAGCAUGGGCAACAGAGCACGACUCCGUCUUAAUAAUAGUAAUAAUAAUAAGAAGAAGAAGAAGAAGAAGAGGAGUGGCUGCCUAUGCCGGAGUUGUUGACUGGAACAAGAGGAGGAACCUUCUGGGCUGCUGGUAAUGUUCUAUGCCUGGAUUUGGGUAGUAGUUACAUGGGAGCACGCAUAAGUAAACAUUCUUCAAACUGUCUUCUUAAGAUGAGUGCAUGUCACUGUGUGUAUGUAUAUAUAAUACCUUCAUUUCUUAAAGGCAGGUGAGAACAAUCUGGCGUUAGAGGUGAGAGUACUGGUUGCCUUUGGGGUAUCAACUGGAAGGAGGCACAAGGAGAGGCCUCUAGGGGGCUGGGAACAUUCUGUAUCUUCAGCACAGCCGUUUUGUAACGUUGGGUCUGUAAAUGUGUAUAAAUUCAUCAAACUGUAUUCUAAAUAUUUGCAUGUUACUAUUUGUGUAUGACACCUUAAAAGUUUUUUUUAAAAAGUCUGAGCAGAUCACCUGGCUCAAAAUCAAAGUUAAAUCUUCCCCCUUGGACCCCUUAGGGCCUGAGAUGAGCAAGGGGAAAGGGGGCUGUGCCUGGUGCCAUCUCCUUCCCCAAACCUCCCUCGGCUCGCUCAGCCCACUUCCACCCAUCUAGAACCACCACCGGGAAGGGAGAAAGGGAGAAGUGGGGAAGGGCUCCAAUCCCAUCUGGAUUGGCAGAGGGUAAAGCUGACCCUGUCUCUCCUGGGAACAUUCAUGGGCUCCUCGGUGGUUCCCUGCUGCUUUGUCUCCUGAAGUCCCCUUAACUCAAGCAGAUGUGCCACUGGGUGGAUGCUUACCUGGUGGCUGUGGAGGGGAGGGGCCCUCUGCCCUUCCUGAGGGACUUUUGGACAGGACCUAAAUGGAUCCAUGGGUCUUGUGCUUGCUCAUCCACCCAGCUCACAUCUGUCCUCAGGAAACACUGGCACACUCCUCGCCCCAACAUUAGUGAACAGGUGGGUCCCAGCACAGCAGCAUAGCUCUGCCUCUGAAACAGCACAUGAGCCCUUCCUGCCACUGUGCCCUCCAAAUUGAGUGCCAAAUAUUGAGCUCUCUGAGAAAUCCCUUGGAAGCCACCCUCACAGGCUUAAAGUGAAGGAAGGAGUGCCUGUCCUCUGUGUCCCCUGGCAGGAUCACCUGACCAAACUUUCUCUUCCACUCUCAUCUUUUAUUCCUGAGUGUGGGACAGAUUCCCAAACAUUUCUCUUGACAAUCUGCCCAUGGCGAUCUGACAUAGCAUUUGAGAAUUCCACAUCUGCUCUCUCUUCUUGCCUCCUGGAAAUUUCCAUUUACUGUUCUUAUACAUUUACAAAUGUACAACAAAGGUCAUCGUGCCUUUGGUGGACAGUCCUUGUAUUCGUCUGCCCUCGCUUUCUCUCUCUCCUGAGCCCCAUGCCCUGUGAGUCUGUGCUCCAGCUCCACUCUGAUCAUAGGAUUCUAGAGGGGCUGGCACCAGGGUGGACAUGUGACCCAAGACCCUAGCAGCACUUCAUCCCCCUUCAGUCAUGUGACUGAAGCCAGGCCAAUCAGAGAACUUAUUUGUUUAUGUAUUCAUUUAUCUAUUUAUUUUUUAGAGACAUGGUCUUGCUCCGUCAUACAGGCUGAAGUGACUUGGCACAAUCAUAGCUCACUGCAGCCUUGAACUGCCAGGCUCAAGUAAUCCUCCCAUCUCAGCCUCCACAGUAGUGGGGACUACAGGUGUAUGCCACCACAUCUGGCUAAUUUAAAAAAAUUUUUUUAGAGAAGGAGUCUUGCUAUGUCGCCCCGGUUGGUCUUGAACUCCUGGUCUCAAACAAUCUUGCUCCCUCAGCAGAUAACUUAUUUAGAAUGUUUUAUACUGGCUGGGUGUGGUGGCUCACACAUGUAAUCCCAGCAUUUUGGGAGGCCAAGGCGGGCAGAUCAUUUGAGGUCAGGAGUUCGAGACCAGCCUGACCAAAAUGGUGAAACCUUGUCUCUACUAAAAAUACCAAAAAUAAAAAUAAAAAAUUAGCUGGGUGUGGUUGUGCACACCUGUAAUCUCAGCUACUUUAGAGAAUGAGGCAGGAAAACUACUUGAACCCAGGAGGCAGAGGUUGCAGUGAGUCAAGAUGGCGCCACUGCACUCCAGCCUGGGUGACAGAGCGAGACUCCAUCUCAAAAAGAAAAAGAAAAAGAAAAAGAAGGCCGGGCGCAGUGGCUCACGCCUGUAAUCCCAGCAUUUUGGGAGACCGAGCUGGGUGGAUCACUUGAGGUCAGGAGUUUAAGACCAGCCUGGCCAACAUGGUGAAACCCCGUCUCUACUAAAAAUAUAAAAAUUAGCGGGGCAUGGUGGCGCAUGCCUGUAAUCCCAGCUACUUGGGAGGCUGAGGCAGGAUAAUCACUUGAACCCGGAAAGCGGAGGGUGCAGUGAGCAGAGAUUGCACCAGUGCACUCCAGCCUGG
rnacentral:lncRNA from 1 species